UUCCCUUUUGCUCCAUUUUCGUUUCCCUGCCCUCUUCAUUAGCUGAUGACAGUUUCAGCUUCCUACAUCCCUUUAAAGAGAUUCCCCCUGCACAUCAUCUGGGAUUCAUGAACUAUGGAGAUCUGGCUAUUUUCAUCUUUAAGCCACAGUUAAUCCAUGACCUUAGUGCUUUUGUCUCCAGAUCUGAAUUAUGAUUCCUGCCGACUGGACACAAAGACGACUGAAGCAGAAAUGUACCCCACACUCUGCAGUGACCACUGCAAUGAUUUUCAGUGGAUGUAGAAAGGAGAAGAUAUCGAUAAGCUGGUUGUUUCUGUGCACUGGAAGAUGCCUCCU